rnacentral:rRNA from 1 species
UACGGAGGGUGCGAGCGUUAAUCGGAAUUACUGGGCGUAAAGGGUGCGCGGGCGGUUUAAUAAGUUAGCUGUGAAAUUCCUGGGCUUAACCUAGGGUGGUCAGCUAAGACUGUUAGACUAGAGUAUAGGAGAGGGUAGUGGAAUUUCCGGUGUAGCGGUGAAAUGCGUAGAGAUCGGAAGGAACACCAGUGGCGAAGGCGGCUACCUGGCCUAAUACUGACACUGAGGCACGAAAGCGUGGGGAGCAAACAGG